CCAUUUGAUCUUUGCCUAAACCAAUUCAAAUAGAGAGGAUUGGGAGUACCAACAUCCAAGGUCAGUGUUGGCGUUGUGGCAGCAGGAUUAAUAUGGUCUGCCAAAUUGUAGCUAUGCAAUAAUGGAAGAAGUUGAGCAUGCCAUAAAUGAUAGUUUGACGAGGUGAGUUUAAUGGUGAGAAGUGGGGCGACAUUGGGAAGAGAUGGUGUAGUGGGGACGAUUUAUGUUGUAGCAGUGGUGUUGGAAACUAUAGCUUGGGCGUUAGUCAAGAGCCUCUAGCUUAGCAGCGUUUUUGAGGCAACAUGACUAACGCCCAAGC
rnacentral:misc_RNA from 1 species